rnacentral:rRNA from 1 species
AUUGAACGCUGGCGGCAGGCCUAACACAUGCAAGUCGAGCGGAUGAAGGGAGCUUGCUCCUGGAUUCAGCGGCGGACGGGUGAGUAAUGCCUAGGAAUCUGCCUGGUAGUGGGGGAUAACGUCCGGAAACGGGCGCUAAUACCGCAUACGUCCUGAGGGAGAAAGUGGGGGAUCUUCGGACCUCACGCUAUCAGAUGAGCCUAGGUCGGAUUAGCUAGUUGGUGGGGUAAAGGCCUACCAAGGCGACGAUCCGUAACUGGUCUGAGAGGAUGAUCAGUCACACUGGAACUGAGACACGGUCCAGACUCCUACGGGAGGCAGCAGUGGGGAAUAUUGGACAAUGGGCGAAAGCCUGAUCCCGCCAUGCCGCGUGUGUGAAGAAGGUCUUCGGAUUGUAAAGCACUUUAAGUUGGGAGGAAGGGCAGUAAGUUAAUACCUUGCUGUUUUGACGUUACCAACAGAAUAAGCACCGGCUAACUUCGUG